UGGUAAGCACCGACAAGAAUGAUGGGAAUGU
rnacentral:piRNA from 1 species